rnacentral:rRNA from 1 species
UUCGCAAUGCCCGAAAGGGUGACGAAGCGACGCCGCGUGCGGGAGGAAGGCCUUCGGGUUGUAAACCGCUGUCGGGAGUUAAGAAAUGCAAGGAUGUUAAUAGCGUUCUUGCUUGACUAAGGCUCCGGAGGAAGCCACGGCUAACUCUGUGCCAGCAGCCGCGGUAAUACAGAGGCGGCAAGCGUUGUUCGGAAUUAUUGGGCGUAAAGAGCACGUAGGCGGCUGUGUAAGUCGGUUGUGAAAGCCUUCCGCUCAACAGAAGAACGGCAUCCGAUACUGCAUGGCUUGAGUGUGGGAGGGGAGAGUGGAACUUCUGGUGGAGCGGUGAAAUGCGUAGAUAUCAGAAGGAACACCGGCGGCGAAGGCGACUCUCUGGUCCAUAACUGACGCUGAGUGUGCGAAAGCUAGGGGAGCAAACGGGAUUAGAUACCCCGGUAGUCCUAGCCGUAAACGAUGGGCACUAAGUAGAGGGGUUUUAAUCG